AUUCGGGGUUCCGGGGGGUCACGCUCCGAUCCCGGACGAGCCCCCAAAUGAAAGAGUGUACCCCUAAACGGGGAACGUGUCUCUCGCUCCAAUUGUGGGAUGGGGUGCCCCCAAGAACCACGAGUAGCCAU
rnacentral:pre_miRNA from 14 species